AACGAACGCUGGCGGCAGGCUUAACACAUGCAAGUCGAGCGCCCCGCAAGGGGAGCGGCAGACGGGUGAGUAACGCGUGGGAAUCUACCCAUCUCUACGGAAUAACGCAUGGAAACGUGUGCUAAUACCGUAUACGUCCUUCGGGAGAAAGAUUUAUCGGAGAUGGAUGAGCCCGCGUUAGAUUAGCUAGUUGGUGGGGUAAAGGCCUACCAAGGCGACGAUCCAUAGCUGGUCUGAGAGGAUGAUCAGCCACACUGGGACUGAGACACGGCCCAGACUCCUACGGGAGGCAGCAGUGGGGAAUAUCGGACAAUGGGCGCAAGCCUGAUCCAGCCAUGCCGCGUGAGUGAUGAAGGCCCUAGGGUUGUAAAGCUCUUUCACCGGUGAAGAUAAUGACGGUAACCGGAGAAGAAGCCCCGGCUAACUUCGUGCCAGCCGCCGCCGUAAUAC
rnacentral:rRNA from 1 species